UGCUUUUAUUGACAAAAGAGUCACUUGCAACAUUAGACAAUGAUAUGUGGCUGAAUUACAUUGUCAUGGACAUUGUAUUGAGGUAAUUCUUUUGAAGAAUCAUAAAACUGCAAAUCAUAAUAUUCUUAGCAAUAAUUUUCUACUAAUUCUUUCUAGGUCUGGUCAAUUUUGAACUAGGACGUCAUAAAGGCGGAAAUCUUUGAUCUACCCAGUGCAUUUUUACACUAAAUUGAAAAACAGUGGAUUUUCAGGUGUCGUCAACUGGACAAAACAUGAGGACAUUUUUCGAAAGGACUAUCUUUUGAUAGUCGAGAAUCCUCUUGGUUACUUAACAGAAAUGUGGAAAAACACAAGAAAAACAACCUGGAUAUUUUCUGCAGAUUCUAUGCCAGCCCUGAAAUUGAGGGUACCCGAACAUCAAGGAAACAGAUCAGGGACAAAAUGCAAAGUUGUUUAGAAGGAAUAGACUCUGCACUCUCCAGAGCUUGCUGAGGGGAAAACUGGGAGAGGAAACACCUUUUAGUCUGCUGACCCAUACAUUUGGACCACAAGUUGUAGAUUUGAUCUACUGAUCUCAUUUUUAAUCAGUCAGUUUAAGUAGAGGUACACUGAGCCAGUGAACACAAUAACAAAUGAAUUUAAAUUGUUACAAACAUUGUCAUCUCAGUUAAUUAAGUAAUGUUACAGUUAAUUGAUUUAAAUAUACAACAUAUCACUGUUAGAGAACACAUUCAGAAAGCA
ensembl:lncRNA